CGUUCUGACACAUCCCCAGCAGCGGCUUCGUGCCUCCUGCAGCAACGGCAAAUGCCAUCCUCGUCGGCCACAGCCCCCUCAUCAUCAUCAGCUUCCUGCUCACUUCCUGCGGCAGCCGACAAAGAGUUCGCUGAGGAGACGGCGUUAGCAGUGUUAUUAUGAGCCGAGAAUUCUACGUGCCCUGCCAGCCUUACGCAUAUCCGGUAAUUUGUGUUCCUGCACGCUUCGAUAGUUUUCGUAGACUGACCGAUACUGCUUAUUAUGUAUGUGGCAGUGGGGCAUCGGAGGGCGUGGUGAGCGUGAACGGGGUCGUCGGUGGCAUGGACUGCAUGCCCCUCCGUCCCGGGCCGUUCCACUACCUGAUAAGCGAGCAGGCCAAGUCGUUGGUCGCGUUACAGGAGCUGCAGAAUGAGGUCGGCGCCCUCCUCGAGUUCCGGGACCUCGUCAUCGAGACGUUCCCAAACCUCCGGCACAAGAUGGCGGUCACUGCGGCGGCCUCCGCUGCCACGGGCGCAUCGUCCGCCAGCAACGGCAACGCCUCCUCCGUCCUCAUCACCUCCGCUCAGGGCUCACACAUACCGCUUCCGCUGUCCAGUCAAAGUCCAUCGUCGCGACGGAUCGGCGAAUGGGAGCCCGGUAAGGUAAGGCGACGAGUGGCCCAGUCCCGCGAGAACGAGUCGGCCUCGUCGUCGCUGCCAAGAAGUCGCAGCAAUUCGCACAGCGGCGGCAACAAGCACAGCGCGACGGUCCAGGACUCGGGCUUCAGCACGGAAACUUCCUCGAAGGACAGCGCGUCCACGGCGAUACCAAGGCCGCAGAGUCCGAGUUCGAGACCGACGGUGCUCGACGAGGCCGAGGACGAGCUCUGGAACUUGCUCGAUGUCAUCCACAGAAAGGGAGUCCGGCUCAGAGAGGAGGUCGAGAGCCUCCAAGGUCGUCUGGAGAGCGUCGCACCGGAGGAGCUCGACGUGCCCAGCGACAUCCUCGACGCGGUGCGCAAGGUCACCUCGCGGCGCCGCUCCUCGCACCUCAACGACGACGGCCUGGUCGACGACGACGACGACGAGGACGAGGAGGACCUGCUGCAGCUCAGCGACGAGGGCUCGCAGCUGGCGCUGCUGCAGCGCGAGAAGCUCCAGCUGCUGGACAAGGUGGCCGAGCUCGAGGCCGAGACGAUAUCCAGCCGAGCUCGAGCCCAGGAGCUGCAGUCCGAACUCGCGGCCCUGUCGGCUCUCAAGAACGGACUGGAGGACAGGCUGAGGGCUGGACUCGAGGCUGGCGACGCAACCGCCGCUGGGAUCCUCGCGCCCGGGGCGCACAGGAUACAACCCAUCGAGCCCUCGGCGCCGACGCUGCUCCAGUCGCCCCGAGCCAACGGAACUGCGCUCAACAUCAGGAGCAAGGACUCGGCUUUUGCCAGCGUCGUUUCCGGAGAUGCUGCCAGCAAAGCACACAAGAAUAGGUUUAGGACGAGGACGAUCGAGAAGAACGUGCUGGCGAACGUGUCAGCAGUGACGGCGGCGGCGGCAACGGUAAGCCGCUCGAUCGAGGACAUUCACGGAGCCGCGGCUGCCGAGGCGAGCGUGAACGAGAGGCGAGCCAAGCUGGGCGCGCUCGAUUCGGUCCUCAUAUCGCCGACGAGGCUGCCCCUGCAUCAGCAGCAGGUGAAGCGCUCCGACGUCGACACGCGCAAGAUCGCCGCGAUUCUCAGGGAGCGCUCGCCCCUCGAGCUCCAGCGACACCUUAUCACCACUACCGUCCACAAUCAGGUUCUUCAAAAGCGACUAGACGAGGUCGAGAAGAGCACCGAGACGCUUUCCGAGCGAUUAGGAAAGGCGCACGAGGAGAACGAGGAUCUGCGUUUCCAGCUGGCCGAGCGGAACAUCGAGCUGGAGGGCACGCUGGCGCGAAUGCGGCUGCUCGAGCUGCUGCAGAAGCGCCCGGCGACGGAGACCGACGCGGACGACGAGUCCGAGUCGCCGCUGGCCAACGGCCACUCGAACCACCUGCACCAGAACGGCCUGGACGUCUCGACGAACGGCGGCGGCAGCAGCAGCGCCGACUCCUCGCAGAUGAACCACACGAACGGCUCGACGGAGCCCCAGCAGCAGCACCAGCUGAAACCCUCACCCCGGCGGCGACCUAGUCGAAUUCCGCUGCUGGGCGUGAACAAGGUCACGGCUCCCAAACCACCGUCCGCCGCUACGACGCCCACCUCGACAACGGCCGGCAGCGUCGCGGGCCAUCGGCGCAACGACAGCCGCGACUCGCUCAAGUCGCUGAACGCGCGCAGCAACAACCCGUCGAUCUCGUCCAACGGCAGACUGGCGCCCAUCACCUCGGCCAAGAGCCAGGGACGCGACUCCAGUCGCGAGUCCCUCAACAAAAGCAGCCUGUCGAAGCCGCGCGAGCCCACGAGUCGCUCGCUGCCGCGCAACAACUCUGGCCGAGACUCGCUCGGCAAGUCGGCGAUCAACGGCUCGCUGCUGUCGCGGCCGCGGGACUCGCUCGAGUCGACGCACAGCGGGCAGCAGCAACAGGCACCGGGAACACCGCCGAGGAGGCCGCCCGCGCCUGCCAGGCGCUCUCAGAGCCAGGCCGCGAGGCCUAGCUCGGGCGGGCCCUCGGACAGCGCAGCCGACGGCUCCGGCAAGGUACGCACCGUAAAGCAAUUCUUUUGGACCACCUGGCUCAAGUGAGACGAGUUGAGGAGGAUGAUGAGCAGGAGACGGGGGAGUGAGAGAGAGAAGGGAAGGAUGGAUGAGCUGGAGGAGCCACAUUGCGCUGGUUCGCUUUAUCAAACGAAAUUGUCUCUCACUCGUAGGGCCGUGGCCGCUUCUAAGUCUACGAUCUUGUCUCUGUUUUUCUGAGAUCGACAUGCAUUGACAUACAUACACACAUUGACAUUAUUGACAUUUACUAACUCGCACCCACGAGUAAAUGAGAUAAUACAUUUGCGAUAUGUAAACGUGGACGUUGCUCGCGCGAAGACGAGACACAUUCCUAGCUAUAGACUUUUACCGAGAGGGCAAAUUCGCGCGGCUCGGAUUCGUUCUCUGCGGCUGUUGUAUACUUUAUGCGUGCUUCAUUUUUCUAGUUGGAUGAUCAUUUGGCUGUUCGAACGCGUACUCCGAUGUGCGAAAGAGCGUUGACUCUGAUCAGUAGUUGCUGAUUUUUUUUUGUUAUUUCUUUAGUUGUUGCGCACGUUGUUAUUAUUUUUUUCGAAAUUCCGUCGACUAAUUCGCUACGAAUAUGCGUUUAUUAUUUUCAAGAAGUAAUCGCCAGAUAUACGCUAUAAUCACAGCUUCGAAACUAAUUACGCUAUGGCUCAUUUCUCGCGUCUCAUUCUAAUACCAUGUAUUGUUAUACAUAUUAAGAAAAUAAACUGACGUUUAAAGACAAUCUAUUUCAAAGAGAAUCACACGAGGACUGUCUGUUAGAUUCCGUUACGGUCACACGCUGACACAACGCUAAAACAAACCAAAAAAACAAAACAAAAAAAUAUACGUCCACUAUCUGCGACAUCUCUUCCUGCGCCUGCACUGCGAGGCAAAUCGAGGCGGAGUACGUCGCCGUCGUCCCCCCAACUGGCCGUCCGCAAUACCUAUGUGUAGACAGAGAGAGUACACCCAGACAGAAAUGGUCCCAGAGUUUCGCUCGAUCGCGCGUUCUUCUUCGGUCUCUCAGCAUGCAAUCGUCGAAUCCACCGAGUUCGUGGUUCUCAUCAGAGGUCUCUCUUUACCCGGACUCGCUCAACUCCACCGGAAACACCAACCACAACUUCAACGAGGACGAGGACGACGACGAGACGUCGUCGCGCACGGGCUCAACGCGUGUCGAAUUCAUAAUCGGCUCACCGACGCGCAAGCGACUCUUCCAGACACCAUGGUCAGUGCCGCGCUACUUCGACAGCAUCGACACCGAGCACAUGAUGAUGCAUGAGAGCUACGAGUACCCGCCGGAUCAUGGUGAGGCACUGGCCGAGUGCGACUCGCUCGAGUGCGAUGAAAGACUAGAGAGCAACAGCUGAUGAGCUACCGAAGUACUGUUUGUGGAAAAUCUGUUGAUGUUAUUGAUAAAUUUGCUGUUCGUCGAUUUGUUUGUUAACGGUUACAGUAUGCGACACUCGAUGAGACGCCACUCGAUCGUAAGCGUAGAGGUUUGAGGAUGGUUAAAUUUGAGCCUCGUUAUAAAUAGUGUUAAGCAAUGUAGGAGUCAAGUGCAAUAAGUUGGUUUGAAAUAAUUGUUCUAUUUUCUUUGAAUGAAGACGCUGGUUCUGAUGAUAGACAUUCGCUUGAUUAUUAUAUUAAUAAAAUUAACAAUUCCAAUGUUUUCUGUGAAAAUCGAUGAUUAUAAGUUUAUUACAAAGUUCGAAAGUGUAUGUAUAUUUAUGCUUGGCUCGUAUUUUAACUCGAAAAUCAUAUUUCAUUUAUGUGUAAAUAACUUAAAUGACGUAAACGUAGGUCAAAGAAAUACACCAUCAACGAAUCUUGUGUAGUGCAAUACAGACGAUUUGAAAAUGCAUUCGAUUAGAACUAAGAAGAUACGGAUCGAAAUCACAUUCCUGAUCAUCUGUGCCUAGAAGCUCGAUUCAAUGGAGUUGUGAAUGUUGCAAAUGAAAUGAAACAUUUUUCCAAGCACAUCUACGAUAGUAAAUUAUAAAGACUCUUGGGUAGUCUUGAGAACAAAAAAGACUGGCAUGUUUAUUGUUGACGAUCACAACUGCUUUUUCGUAAAACUCCAAUUCAAACUUGUGCGUGUAGAUAUAGAGUCAAUCCCUGAUCUUCCGCGAGAAUAUUUUUUAAAAAAGAAAACAUUUUUGAUCACACAAAUGUCUCAAAUUCCUAUAGUGAACAUGCAUAUACAUCGAAUAUAAUACAACAAAUAAAGAAACGCUAUUAGUCCGUUUUAUACUAUCAAUAUUUUCACUGACUAUUGGAGCAUUAAACAAAAUUGCAUUAAAAAUACACAGAACAUUACAUACUAUAAAUGUAAAACAUUUAUACAAAGUAAAUUAAAAAGUCUGUUACUAUGCUAGCCAGUCUUGAUACCGCAAAUUUACGUAUUAUAUUAAGAAAUGGAUACAAAAUAUUCUUUAUACCUUGUUUGAACAGCAACAAUUCGCUCUAUUUUGUCGAACGAGUAACAAUUCAAGAAUGAGUUUGUAUUGCAAACUUUACAUUACUUGGAAAACUCAAAUAUCUUUUCAUCGUAUGUUUCAUAUUUUGAGCGAAUAUUACUGUUUACAGGAGUUUACAACUAUGUUAUCCAAAAUUGGUUUGCAGAUUUAAAAAUAAGCAAAAACACUUUUUUUAUAAAAUAGCAUUUUGAGACCAACUUUGAGACUGUACAAGUCUCAUUACUGCAAAAAUAGCAGUCUAAAUAUAGUUCAUCGAAAUCUAUCGUCAGCUAUUUGUUCUGUACGCGCAUUUUAUAACUAUAUUGUACACACAUAAACUGUGUUGUGCCUUUCUUAUAAUUCUUAAUACCAUUAUAGUAUCGGACAUUUGUUUUUAAACAAUCUUUUUCUAUAUUUACUUAUUUACUUUGAUUUACAGCAUGUAAUCAUCUAUUUUGAUGUAUAGCGAUGAUACGCCAGAUAGUUUUUCUCAUUUUAAAAUUGACCUCAAGUUUUUGAGCUUACAUCAUUUGAUUCAUAAUCAUUUUUCCAGAAUUUAACAUAUCAUGCGAGUGACGAAUACCCAAUCUUAUCCAAGUCCAAAAUGGUUCUUCAAGUAAUCAAUCGAGUUUACAGUCAUUAAUUUAUAAAUUAGCGAGGAUAGACUUAGGCUAGUAAUAGGUAGUCAUCAUUUUUUGGUUUUCUCAUAUGAAUGUCAUAUUUUAUAUUGACAAUUACUAUAUAUACACAUCUCUUUCCAGGUAAAACCUGCGACAUUUUAAUAUCUACAACUGAAAGUCGAAAAAUAAUGACUAUUGAUUAAAAUCAUCGUGGAAUCCGCAAAUGUAAAACUAGACUAGUUAUUUUCACCUUUUUGCCAAUAAUUCGUAAAAAAUAUAAACAUCGAAUGUGAUUUAUAGCAUCUGAAUGCUGAAAAAAAAUUUUAAAGUCACGUGUUACAUACGAUUUUCUGCACUGUUAUUUAUUUAUGUAUACAUUACAUAGUUUCUUUUGUACUUCUGCUCAAUAUAUUAUAAGCUCGUACGUGAUAAAUGGCAUGUAAUAAUUGUAAUUUUUCAAAUUUCACUCUAAAGUGUGUUUAACAUGUUUAAAAUUUUACGAACAAUUGGCGAAAAGAAAAAGGACAUUUUAAAAGGCGUUUUUGACUAUUCAAUACUACUGUACAUACAGUUCCUUGCUUUAACCAAUUUUAUUAUUUUUGUGUGGUACAAAAUGUGAAUGACGGUGACGAUGACGAUGACUCGAAGUACGAGCAAUCACAGAAUGUGAUCUUAGUUUUUAAUAUUGCGAAUUUGUGAUUAAUCGUUUUAAUUUUAAUAGGACUGAAGGACUAUUAUUGUCCAAACUUUCAAAUUAGACGAUUUUUUACACUUAUAAUUCUUUUGAAAACACUGUUAAAAGUUUCGUCUGUAAAAGCUUGAAACUUAAGUCAAUCAUAUACUUAUGUUUUCAUUACUCUUUAAGUUUUUCUAUAGUAAUGAUAAAAAUAUUAUUAUUGAAGAUCGUCUAAUUUGACGGUCUUUGCUUUGAUGCCUCCAAUUUAUCGUUGCUGCGCAAAACCGCCUUAUCAGAACAGAUGUAUCUUACAUUAAAAAAAUGUUUCUACGUCCUUAGUUUUUUUGUUUAUUAUAUCUGUCGAUAUAUAGGGACACAAAAGGCUGCUCACGUCGUUUUUAAGGCUUGUGCAGCGGAGGCUAUUAUUUUUAUAAAAGGGUUAAUACAGUUGCGAGAACUAAGCAGAAUAGAAAACUGUUUAUGAAUGAUCAAAGUUUCUUGAAUCAUUGACGAUAUCGUGCGUACUUUCUAUAUUGUUCUGUCUUGCGUAGGUGCGUAUUGUAAUCGUUGUAUGAAUAUUAUUUUAUCGAAGAGAUGCUUCUGGCGAAUUUUGUAAAUAUUAAAUACUAUUUAAAUAGGUUUAAAUUGUAAAUAUUUUAACGUAAAACUGCGAUAACGUGAUACAGUUAUAAUGAAAUAAAAUACUACGCAAUUCCAAAAGUA